CGCGGCUAUAUUGUUUACAGUCAUGCGUCGCGUCGUGACGCACCCCACAGUGCGCGAAAGGGGUAGUACCGGCCGAUUCAGAACGCGGAUCGAUGCAAACGUCAAUAAUUCCGUUUGUAAACGUCGUAGCGACUUGAAACAAAAACUGUUGGAAAGAGGAAAUUACUGGGUUUGCGACGGACAUGGAAACGUCUUUCUGCGGAAUAAGGAUCAAAUACGACGGAAGGAACGGCGACUAUCGACAUGAGGAUAUCUGUACUGAGAGAAAAAUAUAGUUGCUUUUGACGUCAAGUAUACGCUUAUAUGAUUUUAACCACAAAAAUAGUUAGAAGAAUCAUUGUUUUAGUACGUGUUAUUAGAAAGUUGGGUAAAUGUUUACCUUUACACAGCCAGCUCCAAAUGAUUUCCGAGUAACCUUGAUGUUGAUCUUGACCCUCAAGGAGAUCAAUGCUAUUGACCUUUAUCGGCGCUCAUUGUUUGUUAAAAAGUUAUUAACAAAAAAAGUUUUAGAAGAUGAACGUAAUUUCUACACACAGUGUAUACGGAAAUACGGAAAUAUUUGCGCGUCUUCUAUAGUUUCCGAAAUAUUAAUAAAAUAAGUAACACACACAGUUUUGUAUGUACAGUGUCCAAAAAUUACAUUUAUUUUAUACAACUUCUUUUGUUAAUAACUUUUUAACAAACAAUGAGCGCCGAUAAAAGUCAAUAGUAUUGACCUCUUUGAGGGUCAAGGUUAACAACAAGGUUACUUGGAAAUCAUUUGAAACUGGCUGUGUAAAGGUAAACAUUUAAGAUGGUUCUUCUAAUUAUUUUUCUGGUUAAAAGAUGGUUCUUCUAAUUAUUUUUCUGGUUAAAAUCACAAAAAAAGUAUAGUUGACGCCGAAAGCAACUAUAUUUUUCUCUCAGUAUGGACAGGGCGUGUACUAUUAAUUUAGAUAGUCUUCAGAGUGUCUUCAGAUAAUCCAUUUGGAUUAUCGUACCACUCAGAGAUGGACAAAUAUUGAAUCAAGCAGUUGCAAUAACUGAUGCAAAAACUCACCUUUAAACGAAGAUCACUGACCGUCCAGACACGGCUUGCAUAGUCGUUCGAUGCUCCAAGGAUGAGAGUGCCAGUCGAGUCGAAGUCCACCGACAUCACUCCAGCGUUGCUGCCGACUAGAAUGCCCUUGCUCUCAGAUGCCCCUGCAACAGAAUGUUUAUGUGCGCUUCGAAACAGACAAGGGGAAAGAACAAGAGGAAGAGAGACAGAAACAAACGGAAAGGGAGGAAUAGGAAUUGAGGUGGGGCAGAACGAUGAAGAAACGCGGGGAACAAAGCUGAGAAAUGGAGAAUGCAUAGAGAUCCGGAAUAGCAGAUCUCAAGCUAAGCGGAUAUAACCCAUACAAUAAGGGCGGAUGUUUCAUCCAAUUUGCAGCACGAAGGGUAGAGAGAUUACAUUCGAGAGUGUUACAACGAUGUGUGCGAUCGCUUUGCCACGGCGCGGAGAACGAUUCUGCCGACAGAGCUUUCACAUGUCGCAAAGGUGAACUAUACGUCGCCGCGCGGCCGAGCAAAGUAACCUGUUGAUUCGUUAACAUUCUUCAUUAAAUGGAUCGCGGGGAGCCCUUUGAGCGAGAAAAAAAUAACAGCAAGCUCCGCCGUCUGCGUUAAGUAGAGACGAAUAGAAAGCACAGCGAAGGGAGGAUCUUUCUUAAACUGGCAAAACCAGAUCAAUAAAAUUAUAACUUUAUAUUUAAAAACACAAAUGCAUUUAAUGUGUCCAUAACAAAAUCGUCUAUGAUAAGUGAUUCAUAGCGCAGAUGCGCAAUUAUGUUGACAAAUACGUUUGAGUAAUUUUGCCCGUUUUUCUUCGAUCUUUAUUAGCCAUUAGUUAACAUAAAGUUCUUGUAUCAUUUUACUUUAUGGCUUACUAGCUGAAAUCAAUUUUACGCAUAUAAUUCUAGUUAAGUUAUAAAGCUGUAAUUAGACUAUUAACACUAGAUUUACGGGACAAUUUGACAGGUAUCCGAAGAAAUAGGUAUACGACAUAGAGAAUUUUAAAAUUAGAAGUCUGAGGAGUAAAUGAAUAAUUUGAAUAUAUAUUCGUAUCAUUCCAUUAAUAAAAGUCAACAAAAAUUGCUAGAAAAUAAUAAUAAUAGUUUCUAUAAUUCUGCUCGUGAAAUCCGAAACCCGUCAAAUUGACGGGUCCCGUAAAUCUAGUGUUAAACAGGUACAAGAUCCGAUGAUGCAACGUUUGCAGAUCGAAAAAUGUUCUUUUUCUUUCCCCUUCUUUUUUUGUAGACACAUUCUAAUCGACUUGUUAAAAUUACUUGUUUUUUAAUGAAGAACGACUAAGUGAAGGGCUUUGAUAUCAAAUAAGGAAAACUGAUCCGAGCGAAUGCAUUUCGUGAAAGUUACAGUAGUAUCUAAACGCGAGCGAAGGAACACGCCAUAAUUUAACCGCAUCACCGCACCUCGUCGGAAAUUUGAAUAAUAACAAGACCAGCAAAUAAAUUCCUGGCAGGAGAUCAUCUCCGUCGCUUGCACGCGAUGCACUUGCGACUACCAUGCGGCUCGAGGUGUCGUUUACCCGCGUGAAUGCUUCGACUAAUCGCAUUCUUUACCUCGCACACGUUCGACGUCUCGAACGUAAUUUACAUUCUGCUAUCGCGGCAACGUUUUUUAGUGCGCAUU